UGAACCAGAUUUUUUUUAUUUUUUUACUGUUGUAAAACUUUGGGAAAAGGGGGAAAAAGGAGUGUUAGGGUUAAUAAAAUAAAUUCAUUUAUUGAGGGGAAAUGGGCACAUCUAGGGUAACAUCACCUACCCAUACAAAAAUUUUAUCAUGCUUUUAGGGCUUUUUUUUUUUUUCCUUUUCUUUUGUUGCCUCCACUGGUCCCGCGACUUCCCUCUCAUCCCCACUCUCUCUUCCCUCCCGUGAACUACACGCUCCAAUAUCUCUUCUUCGUCUGUGCCGACGCUCUCUUACCCUCGAUCUAUGCCACGGACGAAACGUGCCCACACGCCCAAAAGCAAACCUCGUGAUAACCACGCGCGCCUAGGGUUUUAUUGCAGGACACCAAGUGAAAAAUAAAUGGGGUUUGCGAUAAGAACCGCACAUUACGGACACGUGUGCUUUUCUCAUUGGGUUCUUGUGCCCCCAUCC
rnacentral:lncRNA from 1 species